rnacentral:lncRNA from 1 species
CGCGGAUGCAGGGCAAGGUCGAUGAAGACGAAGCCGCUACUGAGGAGGUUGCCGGAGAAGCCCCCGAUGCCGAGGAUGCACCUGACACCGACGCAGCCGCCCCGGGAGCACCUCCCGCAUGAUUGCUUGUUGUUUUUUUAUUUUUCUGCAAGUGGCGCAUAGCGCCUUAGAACUUUUUAUGUUAGCUUUCUUCUUACCAUCUCGAAUGUUACUCGUUAACUCGUUUUGCACACGCUUUAAUAUAUCCAAUGCUACUUUUAUUUGCUUCUUUGUCUAAGACUAGCUUGCCGGGGAGGGGCUCUGUCCUUCUCGUGCUUUAGCCUUGCGUACCCGGGGACUCGCCAACCACGUGCUUGGCCAGACUAGGGACCCUGGACGGAUCCGCGGUGUCGACCUAGGACCAAACAGCAGCGGCCAGUCACUCCGCCUGCGGGUUGACUACGCCAACGUGCACGCCUCCGGGAUGGAGCUUACCUCA